UUCUGGCAUCGAUGAAGAACGCAGCGAAAUGCGAUACGUAGUGUGAAUUGCAGAAUUCAGUGAAUCAUCGAAUCUUUGAACGCACAUUGCGCCCUUUGGUAUUCCAAAGGGCAUGCCUGUUCGAGCGUCAUUUGUACCCUCAAGCUUUGCUUGGUGUU
rnacentral:rRNA from 1 species